ensembl:snoRNA Gm22018 small nucleolar RNA SNORA17
CCAGCCCCUAGAAGCUCUGUAAGUGUGGCUGCUGUGUCACAGGUGUGUCAGUAGGUGGCAGAGAGGAGACAGGCUGUGUCUAAGCUCAGUGUUCUGACCUUUGAACAGCUGAAUGACUGUAGCCGAACAUU